rnacentral:tmRNA from 1 species
GUAAAGGUUUCGACAGGGGUUUUGAAACUGGAGAAGCUAUCCGCGAGAUGGUGCGUUAAACCUCAAAUUAAAAUUAAACGCUAACGAUAACGAAUUAGCAUUCGCAGCCUAAGUGCUGUGGCCGUCAGCCUUAGUACACCUACAUAUUAAGAAUCUGACGUCAAACUUGUAGGAAACGACAUAGUCAAAGCUUUGAGACUAUGGGCGUAUCAUGAAGCUACUAAAUAGAUUUGUUCGUAAACUGAUGGGUCUAUGAGGGAAUGGGAUUUUCCAAAACAGUUUACUAUGAUAGUAGAAGGACAGCGGACGGACUUUUGGACACGGGUUCGACUCCCGUCUAGUCCAC